CAUUUAUAUAGACAGUCUAUUCAUGUAUAUUGUGUUAUUACCAUAUCACUUUCACAUAUCCUUCGUCUUACUUACACCUCACUUUGCACCGGCUUUGUAAUGCCUAGUUAAUCUGCACUUUAUGUAGCCUUUUGUAUUCUGUAUUCCUGUAUUGUACUGAAUGUGAAACGUUAUGUUGUCCUGCAUGCUUAUGCUUUUCUUGGCCAGGUUGUCUUUGCAAAUAAGAACCUGUUCUUAAUGGCCUACCUGGUUCAAUAAAGGUUGAACAAAAUAAAAAAUAAAAAAUAA